rnacentral:rRNA from 1 species
UAGAGUUUGAUCAUGGCUCAGAUUGAACGCUGGCGGCAGGCCUAACACAUGCAAGUCGAGCGGUAGAGAGAAGCUUGCUUCUCUUGAGAGCGGCGGACGGGUGAGUAAUGCCUAGGAAUCUGCCUGGUAGUGGGGGAUAACGCUCGGAAACGGACGCUAAUACCGCAUACGUCCUACGGGAGAAAGCAGGGGACCUUCGGGCCUUGCGCUAUCAGAUGAGCCUAGGUCGGAUUAGCUAGUUGGUGAGGUAAUGGCUCACCAAGGCGACGAUCCGUAACUGGUCUGAGAGGAUGAUCAGUCACACUGGAACUGAGACACGGUCCAGACUCCUACGGGAGGCAGCAGUGGGGAAUAUUGGACAAUGGGCGAAAGCCUGAUCCAGCCCAUGCCGCGUGUGUGAAGAAGGUCUUCGGAUUGUAAAGCACUUUAAGUUGGGAGGAAGGGCAGUAAAUUAAUACUUUGCUGUUUUGACGUUACCGACAGAAUAAGC